rnacentral:misc_RNA from 1 species
AAACAACAUUGUUUUGGUUAUCUUCUUCUAGUAUUUAUUUUUUGAAUUAGAAAUUAAUGCAAUGACUACAACAUUUUGGACAACACAACCAACUAGCACUUCAUCAGAGACAACAGAAAAGUUAAUGACAACACAAACAGAAAUGCAGACAACAACAACAACACAGAGUACGUCGUUUUCAUCAACAUCGUCAUCAACUGAGAUAACAACCACAUUACAAGAAACAACGCAUUCAUCAACUGAGGAAAUAUCAACGAUAACGACAGGCAAAAUGACAACUCCACCUGAACCAACGACAUCAACAACUGAAAAAUUAACAUCAACAACUGUAACGCCAACAGCAUCUACUGAGAAAAUUACCACAUCGACUAAGGUUUUACAUGAAACAAUCACAGCAUCAACUGAAAAACUAACAUCGACGCCUCAAACUCCAACAAUAUCUACUGAGAAAAUAACAUCGACAGAAAAUACGUCAACAGACAAACCAUUUGUCACACAACUGUCAAAAUCAGACAAAAAUGACGGAGUAAUCGCUGCGCUAGGCAUCAUUGUUGGCAUCUCCUUAGUGGCUAACGUGCUAUUGUCUAUCCUGUUGUUAAGAAGCUGUAGACGAAUAUCUAAUGAUAAUAAUACAACGCCAAUGUAUGCAAAUGAAAAUAUUUCGAAAAUUGACCAAACAGAAAUGUAUACUGUGCUGGGAAACAAGGAAGAUGGUGGAACAUACCAGACAUUAACCCACAAAAACGAAGUCAUUUAUAACAAUACAAAUACAUGCAUGUGAGAUCAUCACUUGUCUAUUCACUGCUUAAUUUCAAUUAGAAUAUAACUUUUAAGAC